rnacentral:rRNA from 1 species
UACGGGAGGCAGCAGUGGGGAAUAUUGCACAAUGGGCGCAAGCCUGAUGCAGCCAUGCCGCGUGUAUGAAAAAGGCCUUCGGGUUGUAAAGUACUUUCAGUCGUGAGGAAGGUGUUAAGGUUAAUAACCUUAGCAAUUGACGUUAGCGACAGAAGAAGCACCGGCUAACUCCGUGCCAGCAGCCGCGGUAAUACGGAGGGUGCGAGCGUUAAUCGGAAUUACUGGGCGUAAAGGGCACGCAGGCGGUUAAUUAAGUUGGAUGUGAAAUCCCCGGGCUUAACCUGGGAAUGGCAUUCAAGCUGGUUAGCUAGAGUCUUGUAGAGGGGGUAGAAUUCCAUGUGUAGCGGUGAAAUGCGUAGAGAUGUGGAGGAAUACCGGUGGCGAAGGCGGCCCCUGGACAAAGACUGACGCUCAUGUGCGAAAGCGUGGGGAGCAAACGAGGGAUUAGAU